GUGAAUGGGACUUGUGAACAAGU
rnacentral:piRNA from 1 species